AGGCGCGUAGCUCAACGGUAGAGCACCGACCUUUGACGUCGGCGGGCGCAGGUUCGAAUCCUGCCGCGCUUGCCA
rnacentral:tRNA from 1 species